rnacentral:rRNA from 1 species
ACCGGCGGCUCGAGUGGUAACAGUUAUUAUUGGGUCUAAAGGGUCUGUAGCCGGCCGGAUAAGUCUCUUGGGAAAUCCAGCAGCUUAACUGUUGGGCUUUCAGGAGAUACUGUCUGGCUCGAGGCCGGGAGAGGUGAGAGGUACUUCAGGGGUAGGGGUGAAAUCUUGUGAUCCUUGAAGGACCACCAGUGGCGAAGGCGUCUCGCCAGAUCGGACCUGAGGGCAAGGGGCGAAAGCUAGGGGCACGAACCG